GACGAACGCUGGCGGCGUGCUUAACACAUGCAAGUCGAACGGGAUCCGGGCUUUCGGGUUUGGUGAGAGUGGCGAACGGGUGAGUAACACGUGAGUAACCUGCCCCCUUCUUUGGGAUAACGUCGGGAAAUCGGCGCUAAUACUGGAUAUUCUUGCUGCAUCGCAUGGUGUGGUUUGGAAAGGGUUUCUGGUGGGGGAUGGGCUCGCGGCCUAUCAGCUUGUUGGUGGGGUGAUGGCCUACCUAGGCUUUGACGGGUAGCCGGCCUGAGAGGGUGUCCGGCCACACUGGGACUGAGACACGGCCCAGACUCCUACGGGAGGCAGCAGUGGGGAAUAUUGCACAAUGGGCGCAAGCCUGAUGCAGCGACGCCGCGUGAGGGAUGACGGCCUUCGGGUUGUAAACCCCUUUCAGUAUGGAACAAGGAUCCUUCUUUUGGGGGGUUUGAGGGUACGUGCAGAAGAAGCGCCGGCUAACUACGUG
rnacentral:rRNA from 1 species